rnacentral:rRNA from 1 species
GAUGAACGCUAGCUACAGGCUUAACACAUGCAAGUCGAGGGGAACGAUAGAGAAAGCUUGCUUUUCUAGGCGUCGACCGGCGCACGGGUGAGUAACGCGUAUCCAACCUGCCCAUCACUUGGGGAUAACCUUGCGAAAGUAAGACUAAUACCCAAUGAUAUCUCUAGAAGACAUCUGAAAGAGAUUAAAGAUUUAUCGGUGAUGGAUGGGGAUGCGUCUGAUUAGCUUGUUGGCGGGGUAACGGCCCACCAAGGCGACGAUCAGUAGGGGUUCUGAGAGGAAGGUCCCCCACAUUGGAACUGAGACACGGUCCAAACUCCUACGGGAGGCAGCAGUGAGGAAUAUUGGUCAAUGGACGAGAGUCUGAACCAGCCAAGUAGCGUGCAGGAUGACGGCCCUAUGGGUUGUAAACUGCUUUUAUAAGGGAAUAAAGUGAGUCUCGUGAGGCUUUUUGCAUGUACCUUAUGAAUAAGGACCGGCUAAUUCCGUGCCAGCAGCCG